ACCUGAUAAAGGCAAACCUGUCGAAAGACAGGGGCACAAAGCCACCGGCCUAAGGGACUUCGGUUCUAGGGCAGCGGAGCUACCAGG
rnacentral:ncRNA from 1 species